rnacentral:rRNA from 1 species
GCCCUUCGGGGCACAAUGCUAGUGGCGCACGGGUGAGUAACACGUGGGAACGUACCCUUUAGUACGGAAUAACCAAGGGAAACUUUGGCUAAUACCGUAUACGCCCUUCGGGGGAAAGAUUUAUCGCUAAAGGAUCGGCCCGCGUUGGAUUAGGUAGUUGGUGGGGUAAUGGCCUACCAAGCCGACGAUCCAUAGCUGGUUUGAGAGGGUGAUCAGCCACACUGGGACUGAGACACGGCCCAGACUCC